rnacentral:misc_RNA from 1 species
UCUGAGGAAAUUGUCCUGCCUCC